UACGUAGGGGGCGAGCGUUGUCCGGAUUUAUUGGGCGUAAAGGGCGCGUAGGCGGCUUUUCAAGUGACGGGUGAAAUCCCUCGGCUUAACCGAGGAACUGCCUGUCAGACUGGAAGGCUUGAGACCGGGAGAGGUGAGUGGAAUUCCCAGUGUAGCGGUGAAAUGCGUAGAUAUUGGGAGGAACACCAGUGGCGAAGGCGGCUCACUGGACCGGAACUGACGCUGAGGCGCGAAAGCCAGGGGAGCGAACGGG
rnacentral:rRNA from 1 species